rnacentral:lncRNA from 1 species
CAGCAAGCUCCAUGAAACAAUGCCAUAACAUGAAGAGAAUAGGCUUGAACAGAUAUAAAUGGAUAGUGACAUGAAUUCAGUAGAUGCAGCUGGAGCAUAAGCUGAGAAACAUAGUAGUAAUAAUAAGCCAAGCAACAAUUGGAAGGAAAACAACCCAGCAUGAAUAAUGAUCUUCUAACUAUCUGAAGGCAAGCAAUUAAAAGAGUUUUAUAUACAG